CAUAAACAUAAACGUACACACAGAAAUAUAUACCUCAAGCAUCCACUUAAGGUUUCUGUAGUAAGCAGGAUCAAUGGCUUCAAUAUCAUGGUAAGUAACCUUGGCACCAAGUAUGUGCUUGUAGAAAGAUCUAGUGAAAUGGACAUCCAAAAGUUGGGCAUCAAAGAGAGCUUUUCCAACCUAGGGAGAGAAAAUUGUUAGUAGUAGCGGUGGUGGUGGUGGUAGCUGGUAAUAAUAAUAAUAUCAAUAAUCCUUUACUCACCACUCGUCCAACAAAUUUGAAAUAUGAGAGGUGUUCAGUCUGAUACACAGAGUUAGGGUUUGGUUGAAAUGUCAAGUCAUUUCCAACAGUCGUGAAUAGAAGGGCACCCUUGUCAAAAAUAACUCGUGAUAGUAACUGAUACCACUCUCUUGUGAGUCCACCGGCAUCAAUGCCUUCUUCUCCUUGGAAAUGAACAGUGAGUCUACCCUUCAAGUCCUGGGGUGAGCGCAUCCUAAGCUGAUUGUAGGAGUCUUCCAAAAUGUACGCCCGUCGGACAGAAAUUCUAACAGGACUGUGAUGAUGGUCAUGCUGAUGCUUAAUUUUAGACCGGAAAUAUGCACGUUUGUUGUCAAAAUCAAUCAAGCGGGGGACCUUCAACAUCAGAGAGAAAGAUUUUUCUAGCAACCCAGAGUUUUGUCGGAUAAAAGCAUUUAACAAUCUUCUGUGUUUCUCCGAGAAUUUAACAAAAGCAGUGUGCUUCUCAUCAAGACUGGUAUGGCUUGCAGAUGAUUUUUGCCCACUACUAGAUGUUGAAGCAUCCUCCAUAUCAGAUGUUGAAGGCUCUUGAACAGCAUCAGGUUGUCCUGGACGUAACUUCUCGCAUGUCACAAAAAAGGAUUCUAUGUACGGUAAUAUAUUCUGGGUUCCAGCUGGCAAGGGAGGUGCUACACCAGUUGAUACUCUAGUUGCAUUUGCAGAAGUUGGACUCAAAUUUGAUGUAUAAUCUGAAGAGCUCUCUAUUUUGCUUAUGCAGUUGCUUAGCUCCAACCACAACGCAUCCAAUGCUGUGUUAAUAUCAGAAAUCUGGGACAGUGCAUCUGAAUGGUCCUUCUCUGCAAGAAGCUCUGGAUCU
rnacentral:lncRNA from 1 species